GUGAAGCGGCAACAGCUCAAAUUUGAAAUCUGGCUCCUUUCGGGGUCCGAGUUGUAAUUUGCAGAGGGUGCUUUGGCGUUGGCGGCGGUCUAAGUUCCUUGGAACAGGACAUCACAGAGGGUGAGAAUCCCGUACGUGGUCGCCUGCCUUCGCCGUGUAAAGCCCCUUCGACGAGUCGAGUUGUUUGGGAAUGCAGCUCUAAAUGGGAGGUAAAUUUCUUCUAAAGCUAAAUACCGGCCAGAGACCGAUAGCGCACAAGUAGAGUGAUCGAAAGAUGAAAAGCACUUUGGAAAGAGAGUCAAACAGCACGUGAAAUUGUUAUAAGGGAAGCGCUUGCAGCCAGACUUGCCUGUAGUUGCUCACCUGGGCUUUUGCCCGGGGCACUCUUCUGCAGGCAGGCCAGCAUCAGUUUGGGCGGUCGGAUAAAGGCCUCUGACACGUACUUCCUCUCGGGGUUGACAUAUAGGGGAGGCGCAAUGCGACCAGCCUGGACUGAGGUCCGCGCAUCUGCUAGGAUGCUGGCGUAAUGGCUGUAAGCGGCCCGUCUUGAAACACGGACCAAGGAGUCUAACAUCUAUGCGAGUGUUUGGGUGUCAAGCCCGAGCGCGUAAUGAAAGUGAACGGAGGUGGGAACCCCUCGGGGCGCACCAUCGACCGAUCCUGAUGUCUUCGGAUGGAUUUGAGUAAGAGCAUAGCUGUUGGGACCCGAAAGAUGGUGAACUAUGCUUGAAUAGGGUGAAGCCAGAGGAAACUCUGGUGGAGGCUCGCAGCGGUUCUGACGUGCAA
rnacentral:rRNA from 1 species